UUGGAGCGUGAGCUUUCGUGGGUGAAUACCCACUUCAUGGGACGCAGGCAGUGGAAAUUUCCAGGGGCAGGUAUAUAUAUGCUAGCAAG